GCUAUAAUUCAUAGAAAUAACAAAGGGGAAUAGCUUAUAAUUAGGUACUAACUAUAUAGUACAUAAUAAUAAAAAUAAAAUUAACUAGUCAGCUAAAUAAAUAUCCUCUACUUAAAACACAAUUCUCAAUCCAAAUCAAUCGUUGUAAUAGAUAGAAAUAUCAUUCAAAUAAUCCAUUCUCAUCCCUCAUACAGCUAUACAAGUAUCAAGCAGAUCUCCUCACAUUAUGGGUGCUAAUGAUGCCUCGCAGCCCAAGAGAAGAUAUCCCUACAUCCCAUUCAAUGGGAGCUAUUGGGAACAUUAAAAAAAUAUGAAGUAAAAAGGGCAAUAUAUAAGUUGUUGGGUUGCAAUGUUAAAUCGGCUAGUCAUUUUGAUAUGUAAAGUAACCUAAUCACAUAUAUAAGUCCAAAUUAAAAUGACUAAAUACGUAAUUUGACCAAUACUCUCUCCAAAUUUAACAAUGUAAAAUAGAUAGAUCGGACUAACUCCACCCCAAAAGGUAGCUCAAGGGGAGGAGGUUCACCCAAAUCUUAUAUAUAGCAUAAAUAACUAUCUCAAAUCAAUGUGGAACAACACAUCCCCCUAACGCCCAAGCAUGAACAUCUGGAGCGCUAAAUUUGCAAAUAAGCACAUCUACAGAUAUCUCAAUAUUGAAGCAGGGUACACUCUGAUACCACGUAGAGAAAAUGAACAGGGCCUAACUCCACCCUAAAAGCUAGCUCAAGGGGAAGAGAUUUGUCCAAAUCUUAUAUAUAGCACAAACACCUUAUUACAUACCAAGGUGAGACAACACAUCAUCUCAUGUCCAGGUAUAAAUAUCUGGAGCGUAAAGUUUGUAAUGAACAGCUCAACAUUGAAGCAAGGUAGACUUUAUUACCAUAUAGAGAAAUGAAUCUAACUCCACCCCAAAAGCUAGCUCAAGUAGAGGAGAUUUGUUAAUCUCAUAUACGCCUUAUCCCAAACUGAUACGAGACAACAUAGUUUUAUGGCUAUUUACCUUUUCUUCGUCGCCUUCAGUUGUUGGAUUUAAGACUUCGAUCCAACUCUCGCUCCACCAGUAAUCCUUCUGAUGGAAUUUUGCCUCAAUCAUCCAUUACCUCAAUCGUCAGCUUUGAGACGGCAAAUAUCACCAAAGUAGGAACAGUGAAGAACCCAUAAUUUAAGGUAGCAUCAAAACACCAUCCUGAUAUAACAGGAACUCCCCCAAACUCUUUAGCUUCUAGUUUAUGACCAGUUCUCCAACUAAGCUUUAACACAAAUUCAUCUCCUGAUAUUCAUCUAAGAUUUCCUUUCUUCACUUGGUUCUGCUGCUACAUCCAACAGUUUGUAUCCUAUAAAACAGGCACUACCUCGUUCACUGGCUAUUGUCUGCAGAUUCUUCAAACCAAUAAUCCCAGGUGACAUAUUUGGAGACUGUGUGCCAAAAGGAUCUGAAAUUCCAAUUAUUUACAUUAGCCUCCACAUUUGACAUGGAACCCGAAAGGCCUUUUUCCCCAGAACAAUACGAUUUCACUAGAAACAAUACCAAGAAUUAUGUGCCAUCAAGUCCUUCAAUUAACAUUCUGUAUGUUUGUGGAUGAAUCUGGCAACCCUCUGUCUCAAUGAUGCUCAGUAAUUCAGAGCGUACAUCAGCAAGGCCCAUCUUAAGUAAGCCAUCAAUGAGAAUUUUCCAAGCUACUUCAUCAUCAUUAUAACCAAAAUGAAGCAAAUUACAGAAAAUUUAGCCUUCUCUUUGUUCCCUUUAUCAUAUAGCCCACAUACAAGUGAUUUCAAAGACUCUAGAAAUUUUAAAUGACCACACUCUAUCACAGCAUCUGCCAGUCUCACCGCAUCACCAUACAUUCAAAGU
rnacentral:misc_RNA from 1 species